UACGAAGGGGGCUAGCGUUGCUCGGAAUCACUGGGCGUAAAGGGUGCGUAGGCGGGUCUUUUAAGUCAGGGGUGAAAUCCUGGAGCUCAACUCCAGAACUGCCUUUGAUACUGAAGAUCUUGAGUUCGGGAGAGGUGAGUGGAACUGCGAGUGUAGAGGUGAAAUUCGUAGAUAUUCGCAAGAACACCAGUGGCGAAGGCGGCUCACUGGCCCGUAACUGACGCUGAGGUGCGAAAGCGUGGGGAGCAAACAGG
rnacentral:rRNA from 1 species